rnacentral:rRNA from 1 species
GACAGAGGGUGCAAACGUUGUUCGGAAUUACUGGGCGUAAAGCGAGUGUAGGCGGUCUGAAAAGUCAGGUGUGAAAGCCCUGGGCUCAACCCAGGAAGUGCACUUGAAACUGCCAGGCUAGAGUAUCGGAGAGGUUGGUGGAAUUCUCGGUGUAGAGGUGAAAUUCGUAGAUAUCGAGAGGAACACCGGUGGCGAAGGCGGCCUUCUGGACAGUGACUGACGCUGAGACGCGAAAGCGUGGGGAGCAAACAGG